GCCUAGUUUCAUUUUUUUGUUGGAUACUUUUGAUUUAUUUAGAGGUAUUUAUUUGUUGGGAAUUGUUUUUAUUGGCCUCUUCUUGAUGGAACUUAGAGUUCUGCCCUUCCUUAAAUGCACGUUAACUUGGCUGCCUUUAACUACCUCUCCGGUUCGUGACCAUUUGGAUGAGAAUGGAACGAGAUAAGGCUCACAAUAUCCAUCCAUGCUGAUGACCACUACAAGAUGCUGAUGUAAUUCAUCGAUUUGUGAAUUAUCAUGUUCUGUAGGGAAUCCAUUCGGUCAAGUAAUUGUUAUGACCAAAUUCGAAUGUUCGAAUAAUUUAACUAAGACCAAUUUGGAAUCUGCCCUCGAGAUCGUACAUUAACAACAAUCAGGCAGUAAAAUUUGAAUCAAUCUAAGUGAGACGAGAGUGUCGAACAGAAACCGCGGUUGUGAACUAGCUAGUCUAUAAUUAAUGAAACGCAACAUCCAUCGGUGAGGUUUGUGUGAAAAUUAACCGAUUUCAAGUGCUCGUGCCAUAAAGGCAAAUGGGGAACAAGUGCAG